rnacentral:lncRNA from 1 species
CAUUUUGAAGGGAUAAAAUUCAAGCCAUAAAAAUCAGCAACUUCAUAUAUAUAUUUCCCUAACUUACUUUGUUUUAUUUUCCAGGUCAUUGACUAACAACAUCAACAAUGAAAUGAAUCUGAGAAAACAGGAAAUUGAGAGCAAGAGAAAAAAAAGUUAAUUAUACUGAUUUUGUAUAAGACCCCUUUGAACACAUUUUUAAAAAAUCAAAUAGAAGGUGCCCAGGUCCACUGUGCCUUGUGAAUAUUUGUCUUGUAUAUCCUAGAGAUCUACGCAUUCAUGUGGGAAUUGAAAAGGACCCACAUUUUACUAGAAGCAUCGUUCAUUUUUGCCUCAAAACAAUGCCCACAUGUCAGAAGAACUUUCACAAUUCACAGGAACAGUGACCUAAUUAACCAACCAUAAAAUUGCCAAAUCCCUACUUCUCAUUGUUUAAUAUGCUUAGAAAACCCAUUCAAAUUGUGAAUUAUCAAGUGAGCUUACACUGAUAAAUAGAUCCAAUAUUUAGGAAUUUUUAAAUCUUCCAUUCCUUUUUUUUUUUUGUCUUUUUAAAAAUAGAACAUUAGAAUAUGUCCUCCAGGUUUUAGAGAUGGGGGAGACAUGCUUCCCUUUAUUUCUCAGUAACUCAGCCAAAAAAAAUCUGGAGAGAAUGCAAAGACAGCUACUGGAAACUUUGAAAAGUAGAUGUGAGCCCAUCAGGGAAGAGCUAGAGAAUCUGAAAUCUACUCGAAAAAGUGAGUUUGAUACUUUGUGUUCCUAUCCUAACUCCACACAGCCUGAAACUUGGAAGUGAGCAUGAUGGAGUGGAUACAGUGAGAUGCAGAAGAAAUCCUCCAGUUUGGGCUGGAAGGGAAAAAAGAGACCCCUAAAACUCAGAGACAGUGGAAGAAAUUCCUGGUGUUUUUUUCUUCUCUUUUUCUCUGUUCUUCCACAUAGCAAUUUAGUAUUGACUACAGCAUCUCUGUUACAAUGAUAGCACCGAAAUGUUGUAACCAUAUGGCCUGCAAAGCCAAAAAUACUUAUCUGACCAUCUACAGGAAAAGUUUGCUGAUCUGGAUGAAAUAUUCUGAUACUAAAUAUUCCAUUUUGGAGGCUGAUAUUCCUAAUCUAUUCAUAAGGAUGGCAUAUCUACCCAGUGGGCCUGCUGGGACUCCAGUUACCCGAUGCACAUACAUUGCUUGGUGUCUCACCUCAUCAUUCUAUCUACUGACUAGUUGGCCUUGAAUUUGUUAAUUUAAACAAAUUUGAAGUUUCAAUGUUCUUGCAGCAAACUCUAACAUACAUACUUAAUGAUUAAAGGCAAGACCUCAAGGGCAGAUUGGAAAACUAAGAACAAUGCUAAAAAAAAAAAUGACUUGCAGGGUUUUUACUAAUUUCCAAAAUUAAGUAACAAAUCACUGACUUGAAAAUAUUUUUCACAGCAGCAGUGAUAUCAUCUAUCUAGGUAUGGUUUAAAACACAAAUCUCAAUUUUUCCUUUCCUUUAGCUGAAAUAAUAAAUAAGAUAGAUUUUGCUAUGAUUAGGAAGGAAAGAUAUCAGUGCCUAGAUUAUCCCAUAUAAAGGAGUUCACUCACUUUUAAGAUGCAAUCUAUUUUUGCCUUAAAUGUCUUCUGCAAACAGCCUUGCCACUUCAGUGCUUGUGAGUUGAUGUAUGUGUCAAGAGAACUGAGCCAGGUCCCGGCUGUGCCGCAAAUCAUUCACGUGGUGCAGAUGGACACACGUUCUGUUAGUCAAAUAAGCAUAUUAGAUUCAAUGACUAUGAAACUCUCCUUCCAGGUCAAAUAGCCUGUUAUUUGUGCAUUCCAGUAUGAUCAUUGCCAUUUAUUUAAAGUAUUUCUACCUAUACAGAUAUUAGUUACUAGCGACUCAAGUACACGUUAGAAUUAAUUGUUUAAAAGAGCAAAUAAACCUCUCACCGCAAUGGCAAUUAAAGACACCCAGUCCUGCUGUGUGCUUCCUCCAUUUGCUUCUAGUGGCAGUUUCGUGUGCAUUUUUGGUGAUGAUGCUCCACGGAACAUCUGCAGAUGUGCUGUCAAUUUGGACAGGCUCUGACUACCGAGUGAAUGGGAAGUACUAACGAGAACUGUCUGCUUGGGAACUCCAUGAAGUUCGUGGCUUUUGUGAUUGAAAUAGCAUCAAUAAAAGGUUGACACUGUGGAACAACACAAGCCUGCAUGGACCUGGUUAUCUCUGACCUCGCACCACUCAUGAGACCAUACCUGAGCCCUACUCCACUUUGGCAGAACUGUUGCAUGGCCUCUCUUCAUAUAAUACCUCUCCGUACACCGUACACCGCAGCUCAAAGAAAGGAUAUAUGCUCCCUGUGAAGACUAAUGGAACUGUCCCUCCUGAUCCUCCUACAGACUUCCUCUGGCCUAAUGGGUGCACCAUUGCAUUAUAUCUGCCAUCUAUACACACAUAUACCUUUCAACCCUGCACUCUCUGAGAUGACUGGACUCAUGCCUAAAUAACUGAUGCUGUCCCUAGUGUAAGCCAAUUCUUCCAGGAAGUCUUUUCAAAGAGAGACUGGACGACCUUCUCUCUUUCUCUCUCCAUCCUGCUGCUUGGGAAAGGGAUGUGACAUCUGGAGUCCUGGCAGCCACCCUUGGAUCCUAAACAUUCUGGCUGUGGCUCUAUGACUCCUUUCUCUUCUUGGUUUUGAAUGUGGCUCUCCUAGCUGUACCUGAAGAGAGGCCCAAUCUGGCAGAAGUCCUAGAGAAGGCUAGACACACAAAUCACACUUGGUAGGAGAACGGAGGCUGGUGCUGUGAGAUGUAGGGAGUUCUGUUGCAGAGAGCCUCUACAGUGUUAAGGGGAAGAAGGUAUCCAAGCUGCUCCUCAGAGGUCAACCAAAAGGUGCAAAGAGAGCUUCCAUAUGGGCCCAGAAUGGGCAUGGGCAUGGCCAGUUUGAUAGGUGCAAGUAGGGACCAUGGAAGCUGCCUGACGAGGAGCUGUACGGAAAUAAGAGUAAUUCAGUGAUGGGGUCCAAGCAUCCUGAAUAUAAGCGGUCCAUGUCAAGAAAGAGCCAAAGGGCGUCCUCAGGACAUGGAAGAGGGGCAUUCCAGGCUGGCAGCUGGGGAGGCCCAGAGAGCCCUGGAGAAGAUCUGAAGUCCAUUGCAGAGCUUUCUUU